CCCAGACUCCUACGGGAGGCAGCAGUGGGGAAUAUUGCACAAUGGGGGGAACCCUGAUGCAGCGACGCCGCGUGGGUGAAGGAGCGUUUCGGCGCGUAAAGCCCUAUCGGCAGGGAAGAAGGAGGACGGUACCUGACUAAGAAGCCCCGGCUAACUACGUGCCAGCAGCCGCGGUAAUACGUAGGGGGCAAGCGUUAUCCGGAUUUACUGGGUGUAAAGGGGGCGCAGACGGCAGCGCAAGCCAGGAGUGAAAGCCCGGGGCCCAACCCCGGGACUGCUCUUGGAACUGCGCGGCUGGAGUGCAGGAGGGGCAGGCGGAAUUCCUGGUGUAGCGGUGAAAUGCGUAGAUAUCAGGAGGAACACCGGUGGCGAAGGCGGCCUGCUGGACGGCGACUGACGUUGAGGCCCGAAAGCGUGGGGAGCAAACAGGAUUAGAUACCCGGGUAGGA
rnacentral:rRNA from 1 species